UAGGGAAUAUUCGGCAAUGGACGAAAGUCUGACCGAGCAACGCCGCGUGAGUGAAGAAGGUUUUCGGAUCGUAAAACUCUGUUGUUAGAGAAGAACAAGGACGUUAGUAACUGAACGUCCCCUGACGGUAUCUAACCAGAAAGCCACGGCUAACUAAGUGCCAGCAGCCGCGGUAAUACGUAGGUGGCAAGCGUUGUCCGGAUUUAUUGGGCGUAAAGCGAGCGCAGGCGGUUUCUUAAGUCUGAUGUGAAAGCCCCCGGCUCAACCGGGGAGGGUCAUUGGAAACUGGGGGACUUGAGUGCAGAAGAGGAGAGUGGAAUUCCAGGUGUAGCGGUGAAAUGCAUAGAUAGAUGAAAGAACACCAGGAGCGAAGGCGGCUCUCUGGUCUGUAACUGACGCUGAGGCUCGAAAGCGGGGGGAACAAACAGG
rnacentral:rRNA from 1 species